rnacentral:rRNA from 1 species
UACGAAGGUCCCGAGCGUUGUUCGGAUUCAUUGGGCGUAAAGGGUGCGUAGGCGGCGGGGCAAGUCUGAUGUGAAAUCCUGAGGCUCAACCGGGGAACUGCGUCUGAUACUGGAUGGCUAGAGGUUGGGAGAGGGAUGCGGAAUUCCAGGUGUAGCGGUGAAAUGCGUAGAUAUCUGGAGGAACACCGGUGGCGAAGGCGGCGUCCUGGACCAACACUGACACUGAUGAGCGAAAGCCAGGGGAGCAAACGGG